AACGAACGCUGGCGGCAGGCUUAACACAUGCAAGUCGAACGGACGUAGCAAUACGUCAGUGGCAGACGGGUGAGUAGCACGUGGGAAUAUCCCUCUCAGUUCGGAAUAACUCAGGGAAACUUGAGCUAAUACCGGAUACGUCCUUCGGGAGAAAGAUUUAUCGCUGAGAGAUUAGCCCGCGUCUGAUUAGCUAGUUGGUGAGGUAAUGGCUCACCAAGGCGACGAUCAGUAACUGGUCUGAGAGGAUGAUCAGCCACACUGGGACUGAGACACGGCCCAGACUCCUACGGGAGGCAGCAGUGGGGAAUAUUGGACAAUGGGGGCAACCCUGAUCCAGCCAUGCCGCGUGAGUGAUGAAGGCCUUAGGGUUGUAAAGCUCUUUUGCCAGGGAAGAUAAUGACUGUACCUGGAGAAUAAGCCCCGGCUAACUUCGUGCCAGCCGCCGCGGUAA
rnacentral:rRNA from 1 species